rnacentral:lncRNA from 1 species
AAGGGAGAUGCUUAGCAAGGCUGGAGCAGAGGCCAAAGACACGGCCAGACAUUGGGGCAGGGGCCCUGAAUGACCCUCAGCUGACCAGGCCGACCCGCCACAAUAGCUGACACUUACAGAGUGCUUACCGUGUGGCAAUGACUGUCAAAAGCUCUUGGGAUAUGUUAAUUCAUUAAUCCUCACACAGCCCUGACGAGGCAGUGCUAUCAUUAUAUCCAUUUUACAGAUGAGGAAAUUGAGGCAGGCACGGGUUAAAUGACUUGCCAAAGUCACGCAGGCAGAAAAUGGGAGGGCUGGGGUUUGAACCCCUGCAAUAUGACUCCAGAAUCUCCCAUUUAACCGCUGUGCUCCACGGCCAGCUCAAAGCCAGGUGAGGGUCCAGGUGCUGCUGCCCGGCCUGUGAAGGUAGCGGGAUUCACAGCUGCUGGAGCGGCCUCGGAAAGCGGAAGCGCCGGCUCUGGAGUUAGGCCUGUGUUCACCCCCGGCGCUGACGCUGAUGAGCCAGACACUGCACCUCAGCCCCCGGAGUCCCGGUCUCCUCCUCUGGAAAGUGGAAGCAGCGCCUACCUCCGCAGCCACUUCCAUGACAGCUGCUGAGGCCCGCAGCCUGCCAGGACUUCACUCGCUUAACUCCCACCCAGGUCAGAUCAUGCUGGUUCUGUCUUCAAAUACGUCCAGGAUGCCACCGCUUCUCCCCGAACCAUCAUGGCCUGUUGGACCACUGCAAUGGCUUCAUCCCAGGCCCUGCUCCCACCCUGCCCACUGCAGUCCACCCACAUGGCUGCUAGAGGGAGAUCAGGGCCUGAGCCGCCUCAGAACCCCUAGGAGCUCCCGGCUCCCUCAGAGGACAGGCCACAGACCCUAUGUGACCCUGUGAGACCCUAUAAUCCACCCCCCAGUAUGUCUCCCAUCUCAUUACCUCUCUGAUGA